rnacentral:rRNA from 1 species
GCUAAGAAUCUUCCGCAAUGGGGGAAACCCUGACGGAGCGACGCCGCGUGGACGAUGAAGGCCGUAAGGUUGUAAAGUCCUUUUGCAGGAGAAGAAUAAGGGUGGGAGUGGAAAGCCCACCUGAUGACGUUAUCCUGCGAAUAAGCCCCGGCCAAUUACGUGCCAGCAGCCGCGGUAAUACGUAUGGGGCGAGCGUUGUUCGGAGUUAUUGGGCGUAAAGGGCGUGUAGGCGGCCCGACAAGUCUGGUGUGAAAUCGCAGGGCUCAACCCUGCGGGUGCGCUGGAAACUGUGGGGCUGGAGUCCCGGGGGGGAAGCUGGAAUUCCUGGUGUAGGAGUGAAAUCUGUAGAGAUCAGGAAGAACACCGGUGGCGAAGGCGAGCUUCUAUUCGAGGACUGACGCUGAGGCGCGAAAGCGUGGGGAGCAAACAGGAUUAGAAACCCUAGUAGUCC